rnacentral:rRNA from 1 species
AUACGUAGGGGGCGAGCGUUGUCCGGAAUGAUUGGGCGUAAAGGGCGCGUAGGCGGCCCGGUAAGUCUGGAGUGAAAGUCCUGUUUUUAAGAUGGGAAUUGCUUUGGAUACUGUCGGGCUUGAGUGCAGGAGAGGUAAGUGGAAUUCCCAGUGUAGCGGUGAAAUGCGUAGAGAUUGGGAGGAACACCAGUGGCGAAGGCGACUUACUGGACUGUAACUGACGCUGAGGCGCGAAAGUGUGGGGAGCAAACAGGAUUAGAUACCCUGGUAGUCCACACUGUAAACGAUGAAUGCUAGGUGUAGGGGGUAUCGACCCCUUCUGUGCCGCAGUCAACACAAUAAGCAUUCCGCCUGGGGAGUACGGCGCAAGGUUGAAACUCAAAUGAAUUGACGGGG